rnacentral:lncRNA from 1 species
AGGGGUGUUUCCUUGGAUGAAUGAUGCGGAAAUGUGGUGGUAAAUGGUCCAAGGAUGAUGAGUUAAGGUAUGGAUGGGGUAGAAGCUCAAAGCCUCUAGGAGAUAUGGUGGUGGUGGUGUAAUGUUUGGUGGCUCCAAGAGAGGUUAGGCCAACUCAAGGAGGAAGGUGACUAUAAGGGCCUCUAGGGUUGUUAUAGUCUUGAUCAAGGAAGAGUAUGACCAUAUUUUGGCAGUAUAAUAUUAUUUAUUUCCAAGAUGA